CUUGGCUGGGUUGCCGAGAGCAAAAAGGGAGGCUCAGGCAGAGGAGGCGAACCUUCCUGCUCCCCAUCUCAUGGCAUUCCUCCGUCUCAGAGACGUACCACUCAGACGGUUUACGCCACCUUCAAGCUCUGCUUCUCCCCUUUCCAGCUGUGUCCAGAUCUUUAAAGCUUGCUGCCUUCCCUCGCCUAGCAGGCGUGCAGGUGCUGUUGAUUUGCAAAGAAAGGAUCAGUACGGAAAGGCCUCGGCAGGAGAGAGAACCAGGGAAGAGGUUACCCCUGGUGUCGAGGUUUCGCUUGGAGGUCAGAUACCUUGGAAAUAAAAUGUUCGGGUCGACAGCUUAUUCCUUCCAAACUUUUUGUUGCUGAAGAAGAUAACUUCUUCGUCUAUUUUGUGUUCCUUUCCCUAAAGCGUGUCCCAGAACAAGGCAAAAGACCUUCCGCUUUGUCCAGAGUCGGCCGGCGUCUCCUUCUCUUCGAUUCGUCCCCAUUUCCACGGCGUGGAAAAGCUUGUGGGCGGUGGACGACCGGCUCCUGUCGUCAAGGCGUGGGAUCGCUCCCUGAGAAUUCGGCUUCUCUGAGGCGUCACCUCCGUUGAGAAGCUGAAGCCCCUGCUGUGGAAGCCCCGGUUCCUUUUCCCCAGCAUGUCCGAAAGC